rnacentral:rRNA from 1 species
AGUACUCGAGUGGCGAACGGGUGAGUAACACGUGGGUAAUCUGCCCUGCACUCUGGGAUAAGCCUGGGAAACUGGGUCUAAUACUGGAUAUGACCUUUCUCCUUAUGGGGUUUGGUGGAAAGUUUUUCGGUGUAGGCUGAGCCCGCGGCCUAUCAGCUUGUUGGUGGGGUGAUGGCCUACCAAGGCGACGACGGGUAGCCGGCCUGAGAGGGUGAUCGGCCACAUUGGGACUGAGAUACGGCCCAG